GUUCAAGGCAGAAGGCCGUGCGUCAGGGCGGCCCUCAGCGGAGAUGCGUGCACGGAGCGGGGAGCGCCGCUCGGGGCAGGGAAUGAAAGCGGCGCUUGAGACUGGAAAUUUAGGGAGAUGAGUUCCUUGGGAACAACGCUGAACCAUCUCACUGCCCCACCCUACCCCUUGUUAUUUUUUUUUGAGACAGGUCUCGCGCUGUCGUCCAGUCUGAGUGCAGUGACGCGAUCACGGCUCACUGCAGCCUCGACCUCCGGGGCUUACGGGUCAUCCCACCUCAGCCCUCUAAGUAGCUGGCACCACGGGCAUGCACCACCACACCCGGCUAAUUUUUUAAAAAAAGUUUUUCCGGAGAUAGGGUCUCGCUGUGUUACCCAGGCUGGUCUCGAACCCCUGGCCUGAAGCGAUCCUCCCGCCUCGGCCUCCCAAAGUGCUGGGAUUACAGGCGUGAGCCACUGCGCUCGGCUUUUCACCCCUUUCUAACGUUUUCCAUCCCUUUCUAACGUUUUCCAUACCCAGCGGUGCCCUGCCCACCCUCUCUUUAUCUCUCACUUUUCCCUCCUCUGUUUCUUCCUCGCUGAAGUCCAUUGGUGAAAGAAAAUUCAUGUGAAAGUUCUCAGAGUCGUCCUUGUCUACUCCACUACCAAAUGUUGAAGUUCUUCAAGAAUCAGUCCUUUGGAGGCAUUUAAGGAAAUCUGUUUCUCUUUUGGAUCACUAGCUGCAAAUUAAGCUAACAGAACAGGAGCUCAGCUGGUCACACACAGCAACGAAUACAGACUUUAUAAAGUUCAGAAAAGUUACCAAACAGUGGUAACCAUAACAAGUACCAACAAUGAACUAUGGGGAGGGAGGAGAAUCUGAUUUCCAGAGUUACCACAUUAUAAUACUAUUCAAAAUGUCACAUUUUUAGCAAAGAUUACAUGACAAGGAAAAACCAGAAAAGUAUGGCCCAUACACAGGUAAAAAAAGAAAUUAAUAGAAACUACCCCUGAAGAAGCACAGACUUCGGAUGUACAAAACAAAGACUUUUCAUCAACUCUUUUAGAUAUGCUAGAAGAGCUAAAGGAAACCAUGGACAGAGAACAAAAAAAUUAGGAAAGCAAUGUCUCAUCCAAUACAGAAUAUCAAUAAAGAGAUUGAAAUUGUAGAAAAGAACCAAAUAGAAAUUCUGGAGUUGAAAAGUAUUAUAACUAAAACUGAAAAUUCACUAGAGGUAUUCAGCAGCAGACUGGAGAAGUCAGAAGAAAGAAUCAACAGGCUUCAAGAUAGGUCAAUUAAGAUUAUACAGUCUGAGGAGCAGAAAGGAAAAAGAAUGAAGAAAAAUGAACAGAGCAUAAAAGACCUCUGGGACUCUAUCAAGCAUACCAGUAUAUGCAUGAGGGGAGUCCCAGAAGGAGAAGAAAGAGAGAAAGGGACAUAAUAUUUGAAGAAAUAAUGGUAGAAAAUGUCCCAGCUUUGAUGAAAUACAUGAAUCUAGAUAUUCAAGAGGCUCAAAGAACCCUAAAUAGGGUAAACUCAAAAAGACCCACACCGGAAUGCAAAAGUGAGCUGGGUGUGGUGGCACGUGCCUGUGGUCCCAGCUACUCGAGAGGCUAAGGCAGGAAAAUCGCUUGAACCCAGGAGGCAGAGAUUGCGGUGAGCCGGGAUUGCGCCAGUGCACUCCAGCUGGGCGACAGAGCGAGAUUCCAUCUCGAAAAAAAAAAAAAAAAAAAAAAAAAACUAUUGCUGCAGUCAUUCAGAUGGAAAUGGGGAAAGAAUAAUAUUAACUGAUUUCAAAAAGGACUUGAAGAUGUGAAUCAUCUAUUUUGCUGAAGAAAUCUUAACUCUUUGAAAUUACUUUUUGUUGCUGUUGUCAUACUCUUAGGUGCCAAACUGCGGUAAAUUUUUUAUCAGUGAAGUGGAAGCAUGUGUUUUGUUGUUUUGGGAAUUUUUAUCAAGUAUCUUCAGAGAAGAUUAUUUCCUGCUUUAUCUUCAAAAACUGGAAAGGAAGGGUCAAAGAAAAGACAGUAGCUGGCCGGUCAUGGUGGCUCAUGCCUGUAAUCCCAACACUUUGGGAGGCUGAGGUGGGCAGAUCACCUGAGGUUGGGAGUUCGAGGCCAGCCUGACCAACGUGGAGAAAUGCCAUCUCUACUAAAGAUGCAAGGAUUGGCCGGGCGUGGUGGUGCGUGCCUGUGAUCCCAGCUGCUCAGGAGGCUGAGGCAGGAGAAUCGCUUGGACCUGGGAGGUGGAGGUUGCGGUGAGCUGAGAUCACGCCAUUGCACUCCAGCCUGGGCAACAAGCGAAACUCUGUCUCAAAAAAAAAGAAAAGACAGUAGCUUAUGUUCAUGUCAAGCACCUCUCAUCACAGUCUAGUUCCAAGGAAAAAAUUCCCAGCGUUUUCUACAUUCGGUGCUGCGUCAUCUGAAAUCGGCACAUUCCAUGGAGGAAGGAGUCCUGCUUUGUUGCAUGUAUCCUAGGGUUUAAUGUUGGUAAAUGAGUCACUCUAGCAUUUGUAGAAGGCUCCCUGAGACUCCUGCAGCAGUCGACCAAGCCCAAGGACAUAAUUGAAUCUGGAGAGUCCUGGGGCCUUGUUUUGAAAAAGACUUGAAAUACACAUAGGAAGAAAGGC
rnacentral:lncRNA from 10 species